rnacentral:misc_RNA from 1 species
UAUUCUAUGAAUCUGUGUCCAUUUGUGCGUGUGUGUGGGUGUGUGUGAUGAUUUUGACGUUUUUUUUUCUUCCUUCUUUUUUGGGUCCCUAUUGAUUUGUGGCUUUUCACAGGAUGCCUAACCGGUAACAGAUAGAAUAGAAAGUGGAAAAGGACUUAAUCUUAAUACUCGCUGUCGGUCCCUUUGUGAAAAGCUUUUAAUUUAGAACUUCUUAUCCCUAUUUGACUUGUUUCCAUAUUUUUUCUUAAUUUUUACUGAAGCAGAUUAUUUAUACAUACAAGUAUGGCAGAAUCCGCCAACAACACCUAACGAAUGGACGACACUGAGUCUUCGGGGAUCUUUCACAUCGUGAACGUGCCGACAACACAUUCGAUCUAGCCGUCAACUUCUAAUUACAACGCCAUGUUAGACGAGAUCGAUCCUCUUUCUACGGACAAAUCUCACGUCAACUCUCAGGGUACAUCGGUUAAUUUAAAAAAAUCGCAACUAACGAGCUUUUCUUUGACCGCCCUCGAAGAAAGAAUCGGCUACGAAUUCACGGACAAAACUUUGUUAGGUCGCGCACUGACCCACAGCUCAGCCAAUGCAACGAAAUGCCCAUCUCGAGACGGAGAAAACCUGGAGGUUUUAGGGGAUGCAUCCUUGGAUACCGUUGUUUUGGAUCUUCUUCUGGAUCUAAACCCUCGGUAUAACCAAGGACAGCUAUCUGUCUUGAAGUCGGCCAUAACAUGCAACGACACGCUAGCUGUUAUUGCGGUCAGAACGGGCCUACAUUUGUUACUGCAACAUCGGCUCCCAGCAAAACAAGUAAAAGAACUCGAAAGUUUUGUGGACCAUCAGAACAAAAACCAUCAUUUAUUCUCGCACGAAAAAGAGACCGAGCCUUUGAGAUUGACUAUCCGAAAGUUUACGCCGAUGCGUUUGAGUCUCUCAUUGGCGCGUUGCGUAUAGAUUGCGAUCGAGAAGACAAGGUCAUCAGACAAGUUGUCUUAAACCUCAUGGGCUUCGUGAUAGGUAGUAGAUUUAAAACUAAUUUAUUGAACUUUUAAUAAUUUUUUUAAUAGUCAAAUUCCACACAAACAUUCCCGUCUGCCCACUACAACGUGUGAAUCAAAAUAGAAUCAAGCCCGAAUUCAAGGAAGAAAAGAACCUUCCAGACGGAACUGUCAACGUCACAUUGGAAGUAAAGAAUUUUCAAUCCUUCCACGGUUCCGGACCAUCAUUGAAGUCAGCCAAGACUGCUGCAGCAAAGCUUGCUAUAACGACGAUGCCUUGGUGUCCAACCCAAAACCAAGCACAAGGGAGAAAACACAAGCGAACUAAAAGUGACCCCUUAUAUGGGCAGCUUUUAGAGAAGGGGCUGGGCACGGAACACGGAGCGUGCCAUCCUAAUUAUAUUGAUCGGCUUAAAUAAAAGUUGCCGCUUUAAAUUUUAUCCUGAUAGGCUCUGCCGUUACUGCACACGACAAAAAAACAUGGAUUCCUUAUCUCCCCCACGACCAAUUACUGCUGCGGAAUACAUCGAGAAGAUGUUAGGCUACCGAUUUACAGACGAGAGUUGGUUGCAUAUGGCAAUUCAACAACCGACGGCCAAUGUAAGAAACGCAGCCAAGGAGGCAGGGAAGUUGGAGCUGAUUGGCGAUCGUGCUCUUGACUUGAUUAUAGUGGAUGAAUGUGAAACGCGGAAGCCAGAAUAUGGAGCGAGCCAAUUGACUACAGUCAAAUCAGCUUUGAUCUGCAACAACACCUUAGCGGUCA